rnacentral:rRNA from 1 species
AUGAGAACUUGACGUUGGUUUGCUUAGCAAAUCGGUGUCGUAGCUAACGCGAUAAGUUCUCCGCCUGGGGAGUACGGCCGCAAGGUUGAAACUCAAAGGAAUUGACGGGGGCCCGCACAAGCGGUGGAGUAUGUGGUUUAAUUCGAUGCAACGCGAAGAACCUUACCUGGUCUUGACAUGUCAAGAAGUCUGCAGAGAUGCGGAUGUGCCUUCGGGAACUUGAACACAGGUGCUGCAUGGCUGUCGUCAG